UGAUGACUAAGGCCAGACUGGGAAGAAGUGUUGCCAUGGAUAUUCAGAAGUUCAAGGAUGAGAGUGAGGAUUACGUUGCUCACAUGUGGCGACGUGUUGCCCUCAUGUCCAAAGAAACGUCGGAGCAGCUUCUUUCAUACCAGAACGCCAUUGAGGCCCUCUCUAGUGAAAGUACAACCUGGCUUAAAUUGGACCUUCUUCAAGAGUUUGCCCAGUGGCUGUGUGUGCGAGACUUUCAUGUCGAGGACGCUGUCGAUCAGCUUCA